UGGGCAACCUGCCCUCAGCUCUGGGAUAACUCCGGGAAACCGGGGCUAAUACCGGAUACGAACCACUCAGGCAUCUGAGAGGUUGGAAAGAUUUAUCGGUCAGGGAUAGACUCGCGGCCUAUCAGCUUGUUGGUGAGGUAAUGGCUCACCAAGGCGACGACGGGUAGCUGGCCUGAGGAGGGCGACCGGCCACACUGGGACUGAGACACGGCCCAGACUCCGUACGGGGAGGCA
rnacentral:rRNA from 1 species